GCACGGGUGCGUAACACGUAUGCAACCUACCUUUACCAGGGGGAUAGCCUCUCGAAAGAGAGAUUAAGACCGCAUAAAAUCAGCUUGUGGCAUCACAGACUGAUCAAAUAUUUAUAGGGUAAAGAUGGGCAUGCGGAACAUUAGCUAGUUGGUAAGGUAACGGCUUACCAAGGCUACGAUGUUUAGGGGAUCUGAGAGGAUGACCCCCCACACUGGUACUGAGACACGGACCAGACUCCUACGGGAGGCAGCAGUAAGGAAUAUUGGUCAAUGGGCGGAAGCCUGAACCAGCCAUGCCGCGUGCAGGAAGACGGCCCUACGGGUUGUAAACUGCUUUUGUACGGGAAUAAACCCUGAUACGUGUAUCAGGCUGAAUGUACCGUAAGAAUAAGGAUCGGCUAACUCCGUGCCAGCAGCCGCGGUAAUACGGAGGAUCCGAGCGUUAUCCGGAUUUAUUGGGUUUAAAGGGUGCGUAGGCGGCUUUUUAAGUCAGGGGUGAAAGACGGCAGCUCAACUGUCGCAGUGCCUUUGAUACUGAAGAGCUUGAAUGUACUUGAGGUAGGCGGAAUGUGACAAGUAGCGGUGAAAUGCAUAGAUAUGUCACAGAACACCAAUUGCGAAGGCAGCUUACUAAAGUAUGAUUGACGCUGAGGCACGAAAGCGUGGGGAUCAAACAGGAUUAGAUACCCUGGUAGUCCACGCCCUAAACGAUGAACACUCGAUGUUGGCGAUAUACGGUCAGCGUCUAAGCGAAAGCGUUAAGUGUUCCACCUGGGGAGUACGCCCGCAAGGGUGAAACUCAAAGGAAUUGACGGGGGCCCGCACAAGCGGAGGAGCAUGUGGUUUAAUUCGAUGAUACGCGAGGAACCUUACCCGGGCUUGAAAGU
rnacentral:rRNA from 1 species